UUCAGAAUUGCUAAAUUGGGCUAAAAUAGAAGGCUCCAGCUGAAGAUUCGGCUCUUCCAGACGGGAGUCGGCUCUUCUCGUUCGCUACAAAGAAUCGGCUCGUUCACGAACGACACAUCACUACUAAACUGCACUACUUAAAACAAACCUCACCGAUUCAUCAGCUUUUUCUUGAUUUAAUGAACUGCUUCGUGCACAAGCGGUAGCUCUAAUUACCUCAACAUUAGCGAUUUUCGUCAAAUAUAUCGACUAAUUCCAAAAAGAUGAACAUCCUCCCGAGAACACGCGUUUCUUAUUUACAGCAACUCUAAACAGUGAAGAUCCACGAAACAAAUUCAGAAAAGAGAAACGAAGAAGCUCACCGAGAAGGAAUAGGCUUUUUCUAAGCUUCGUUUGUCCAGCACAGAUUCUACAACUGUCAUUUUACCAAAGCAAAGAACAGCCUGAAGUGUUUGCAGAUCAGAAGAUCAACAUGAAUCAGAGAUCACCCGCGAGAGGCCGUUCA